rnacentral:lncRNA from 1 species
AAAAACUGAGGUGCUAUAAUAAAGAUAAUGCAAGAAUAGUGAAUACAAUGAAGAAAAUCUUGUCAUUCCUACUUGAGAGUGAGCAGGUGAAA